GACGAUGCCGUCAUCCACAGCAUCUUCAAAGCCUACAUCCAGCGCCUGCUCCACGCCCUGGCCAGGCACUGCCAGCUCGACUCGGACCACGAGGGUGUCCCAGAGGAGACAGACGAUUUCGGGGAGUUCCGGAUGAGGGUCUCGGACCUGGUGAAAGACCUGAUCUUCCUGGUGGGGUCGGUGGAGUGCUUUGCUCAGCUGUAUGCGACGCUGAAGGACGGGAAUCCGCCCUGGGAGGUGACGGAAGCCGUCCUCUUCAUCAUGGCCUCCAUCGCCAAGAGCGUUGACCAGUGAG